rnacentral:rRNA from 1 species
CCUACGGGUGACUGCAGUCGAGAAUCUUUCACAAUGGGGGAAACCCUGAUGCUGCGACGCCGCGUGGGGGAAUGAAGGUCUUCGGAUUGUAAACCCCUGUCAUGUGGGAGCAAAUUAAAAAGAUAGUACCACAAGAGGAAGAGACGGCUAACUCUGUGCCAGCAGCCGCGGUCCUACAGAGGGCUCAAGCGUUGUUCGGAAUCACUGGGCGUAAAGCGUGCGUAGGCGGUUUCGUAAGUCGUGUGUGAAAGGCGCGGGCUCAACCCGCGGACGGCACAUGAUACUGCGAGACUAGAGUAAGGGAGAGGGAGGCGGAAUGCGCGGUGUAGCAGUGAAAUGCGUAGAGAUCGGGAGGAACACUGGUGGCGAAGGCGGGUUCCUGGAC